rnacentral:tRNA from 1 species
GCCGACGUAGCUCAGCUGGUAGAGCAAUGCUUUCGUAAAGCAGAGGUCGUGGGUUCGAUUCCCACCGUCGGCU